rnacentral:rRNA from 1 species
GUGUCAGCAGCCGCGGUAAUACGUAGGUGGCAAGCGUUGUCCGGAUUUACUGGGCGUAAAGGAUGUGUAGGCGGUUUUUUAAGUCUGAUGUGAAAUCCCCCGGCUUAACUUGGGGGCUGCAUUUCAAACUGGAUGUCUUGAGUGCAGGAGAGGAAAGCAGAAUUCCUAGUGUAGCGGUGAAAUGCGUAGAGAUUAGGAGGAAUACCAGUGGCGAAGGCGGCUUUCUGGUCUGUAACUGACGCUGAGGCGUGAAAGCAUGGGGAGCAAACAGGAUUAGAUACCCUGGUAGUCCAUGCCGUAAACGAUGAGUGCUAAGUGUAAGAGG